rnacentral:rRNA from 1 species
AUGUUGAGGGCCGCCGCCGCCGCCCGCCGCGCUGCGGUGGCCGCCUUCUCCACCUCCGCGGCGAGGCCGGAGACGGGCCUGUACGGCUUCGACGUGCUGCGCACGGCCAAGGGCUUCCGCCGCUUCGUCGACGAGGCCAUCCAGCGGUCGGACGAGCUCGUUGCUAACAUUGCGCAGCUGCCGCCGGCUGCGGAGAUUGUUCGCACCAUGGAUGAGAUCUCCAACACUGUUUGUUCGGUCAUUGAUUCGGCGGAGCUGUGCAGGAACACACACCCAGACAGGGAAUUUGCGGAGGAAGCAGAUAAGGCAUCGAUGAGGAUUUAUGAGCAUCUUCAAUACCUGAAUACAAAUACCACUUUAUACAACGCGAUACUAAAAGCUGAGAGCGAAGGUGCCCUGCUCUCAGAGGAAUCUCAGAAGGCAGCAAAUAACUUGCGUGUCGACUUUGAGAAAGGAGGGAUUCAUCUUCCCAAAGAUAAACUCGAGCGUGUUAAUCAGCUGAACCUUGCAAUUGCGCAUCUGGGUAGAAAGUUCAAUGAAAAUGUUAUGAACAAACCAGGUUUUGUGGAUAUAUAUCCAGCUUCGCGUAUUCCAAGGAAUAUACAACAUAAUUUCAAACCUAUUAGUCGUUUUAAACCUAGGGGUGUUGAAGAGCAGAGCAAUGCAAUGAACGCUACAAGGCAAAAGGGUGUAAGGAUAGUGACAGACUCAGGAUCUGUAUCAUCAGCACUGAGAUGGGCUUCGGAUGAGGAGGUCAGGAGACAGGUAUAUGUUGUAGGAAAUUCUGAACCUCGUGAAAACAUUGGUGUUCUUGACGAACUUAUAGAUGCUCGUGAUGAGUUUGCAAAGACUAUGGGUUGCAGAUCAUAUGCUGAAUUUGCUAUUCGUCCUAACAUGGCUGCAUCUGUCGAUGUGGUCAUGUCAUUUCUCAACGAUUUGAGUGACACUGUUAGGCAUAAAGCUGAUGAGGAAUUUAAUACUAUAAAAGAUUUUAAGAGAAGAGUAUGUAAUGACAAGAGUGCUGAUCUUGAACCAUGGGAUGAGGAUUAUUUCAUUGGAAUGAUGAAAUCAUCUGCUCAUACUGUGGAUCCCUUGGUUGUUGCAUCGUAUUUUCCAUUGUCCCAAUGCAUAAAGGGCUUAAACGUGCUGGUGGAAUCAUUAUUUGGUGCCACAUUUCAUCAAGUUCCUAUCGGGGACGGAGAGUCGUGGCAUCCUAAUGUGAUAAAGCUUUCUCUCCAUCACCCUGAUGAGGGUGAUUUAGGAUUUAUGUAUCUCGAUCUCUACUCCAGAAAGGGUAAAUACCCAGGAUGUGCUCAUUUUGCAAUCAGAGGGGGCCGGCGAUUGUCUGACAUGAACUACCAACUUCCAAUCAUUGCCUUGGUAUGCAACUUCUCAAGUUCUAGGGGAUUAACUGCAAGGCUCAACCAUUGUGACGUCGAAACUCUUUUCCAUGAGUUUGGCCAUGCCCUUCAUUCCCUGCUAUCAAGAACGGAAUAUCAGCAUUUCUCUGGUACUAGAGUUGCUCUCGAUGUUGCUGAAACACCCUCAAACCUUUUUGAGUUCUAUGCGUGGGACUACCGUGUCUUGAGAACAUUUGCUCUAGAUGAAACAACUGGUGAUCCAAUACCAGAAAAGCUGGUAAAGGCACUAAAUGCUUCUCGAAACAUGUUUCCCGCUACUGACCUCCAGCGACAGGUUUUUUAUUCUAUAAUGGACUUAACUUUGUUUGGGGAGCACACAUCGAAGCCGGUGGACACAAUUUCUGCUGUUGCUGAUUUGAAAAGAAAGCACACGAGUUGGAAUUAUGUAGAAGGCACUCACUGGCAUACUCGGUUUUCUCAUCUUAUAAACUAUGGCGCUGGGUACUAUAGCUAUCUCUAUGCUAGAUGUUUUGCCACAACUAUAUGGCAAGAAGUAUGCCAAGGUGACCCAUUGUCCCGCAGCACAGGUUGCGCGAUUAGGGACAAGUUCUUAAGACAUGGUGGGGCUAAGGAUCCAUCUGCCUUGUUGAAAGAUUUUGCAGGUGAUUCCGUCAUUAAAAACUCUGGCGGCGGAAUAAUCCCUGACAUUAGCUCAUUGUGUAAAGAAGUUGGUUUGUGA